AAGUCGUAACAAGGUUUCCGUAGGUGAACCUGCGGAAGGAUCAUUACUGAGAUUUGACUGUUUAACCCAGAAAUGGGCAGUCGACCUCCACACCUUUGAAUUACCACCUGUGUUGCCUAGGGGGCCUGAAGCCUUGUAACAAAGGUGGAAACCUCGGUGGACAUUCCAAAAUUCUGUUAUACAUGAAGUCAGAGUCUUUGAUUAAAUCAAAACAAAA
rnacentral:misc_RNA from 1 species